rnacentral:tRNA from 1 species
AAGGGAGACCUAAUUCGGGUAGAAGACGAAAAAAUAGUAGUCGAAACCAAGAAUCAAUCCCAAAAGGUCGGAACGAGGUAUGUGGCUUUCAAACUAGGUUCUGGGUUCACAAAAGACCUGAAUCAGGAACAAGGGCUAUUAGCUCAGGUGGUUAGAGCGCACCCCUGAUAAGGGUGAGGUCCCUGGUUCGAGUCCAGGAUGGCCCACCUGUACAGGUGGCAAAAAGAAAGAAAAGAAGCGAGGAAUCAGCACCUUAUCUUACUGACAUAGUAAGAGAGAAUGCUGGCUCUGAGUAAAGAGUCCAGAGGAACCUUGAAAACUGCAUAGAGCUAGGUGAAAAAGCCAAAAAGGAAGACCGCAA